AGGAGUUAGUACAUUGGAAGUACGUGAAAUUUUGGGUUUUAUAGUGCGGGUUCGAGUCCUGUUUUCUAGGG
rnacentral:tRNA from 1 species